ensembl:lncRNA
AUGCUGCCUUUUUCCGACAUUUGUUCAGGGCCAGCUAUGGCUACGUCUUCAAAUACCCCCCUCCCACAAGAUGACGGUCUGUGGAUGUUUCUUCAGAGCCGAGGGAUUCCUGAGGAAAAUAUUCAGAAAAUGCAGCAAGAUCAUAUUGACAGCUCGGUAAUUGGAGAAAUAGAUGAUGCCACUAUGACUGCUUACAUUCCAGCAUAUGGUGAUAGGAUUGCUACAAGGCGUUUCUGUAUGGAAAAACAGAGAAAAGGUGGUGAUGAUCUAAAAAGACUGUCCUUAUUUGAAAAACUUAGAAGAAAGAUGGGCACAUUGACAAGCAAUAAAGACACAGAUCAAGAUUUUGAGGAGGAGCAUUCUAUGCAGCCAACAAAGAUACAUCUGAGAAAUAACAAAAGGGCUGUGAAGAUGACAAGGAAAAUAGAACUAGGAUGGAUACACGACAAGAAACAAGUGAGAAAACGCAAUGGUGGAGGAACCAGAGUUCUUGAUAUUUCCAAGAAAGCCACAAAAACAGAGAUUCUAUCACAAGCUAAAAAGCUAUUUUUCCCCAAUGAGAAAUCGAGAAAGGGAAAGUGGGAAGAGUUCAGUCACAACAUUGUUGACUUUCAGGAAGCAUACCUUGAUGAGGAUGUUAGUGUGGGAGAGCUCUAUGAGACACAUAAAUUGGGGAUUUUAAGAUUUUACUUGUUCACAGAGCACCUGACAAAUGGAGAUGAAGUGUUCCCAGAGAAGACAGAAGGAACUGAUGAACAGACAGAUGCAGCGAGGCUAAAUGAGCGACAGAAAAACGCAACAGAAGAUAAUGAGCAGGUGACACAAAAAACACAUGACAGUGAACAGCAGACACACACUGUGGAAGCUUUUGUCUCUACUGGUGUAGAGAUUGUUGAUCUUACAUCUUUGUGUGAUCAAUCGGAGGUCAUUUUUGGCCCUUUGCAAGGUGGACCAUUUUCAGAAGAUCUUGAUGACACAAUCUUACAUGAGCCUAUAGAAGAGGCACAGAUAANUCUCUUGGAGGAACUGAUUACCCAAUUCAAGGAUGAAGCGAUGAUGUCCUACUCUGUGAAAUACAGCUUCAUUCAUGAAAUGGGGGCAGAUGCUGAUGGCGUGUCCAGGGAUGUAUAUGCUGCCUUCUGGACAGAGUUUUUAGACUGUGCAGCAGAGGGUGCAGAUGUGAGGGUGCCAUCACUAUCCCCAAAAUGGCAAGAGGAAGAAUGGAAAUCUGUUGGUAGGAUAAUGGUCAAGGGUUUAAAGGACCAUGGAUAUUUUCCUUCUCGGCUGGCUCAAGCCUUUACAGCAGCAAUCGCAUUUGGUGAACACACGGUCUCACCUGAUUUAUUGUUUGACUCACUAAUGUUGUAUCUUAGUCAGUCUGAGCGCGAUCUCUUGUCCACUGCUUUGCAAGACGCCCUUGAUGGUGAUGAUGAAGAUGAGCUUCUUGAUCUUAUGGAUCGCAUGGGAGUAAGAACAGUACCAACACAAGAGAACUUGAAAGCUGUGCUUCUCCAAGUGGCCCACAAGCAAAUAAUCCAGCAACCAAAAUAUGCACUGGAUAACAUUGCAGCAGUCGCAGGACCGACUCUCAGGGAGUUCUUCCCCAGUGUGCUGGAUAUGCAAAAGAUGUAUGAGGAUCUUAAACCAUCAACCCGAAAGGUAUUAAAGUUGAUCACGGCCUCUCCAGCUACUCCAGCAGAGAACCAAAGUUUGCGAUUUUUACAUCAGUACAUCAGGGGAUUGGAUGAGAUAGGCCUCCGGAAGAUGUUGAGAUUCGUGACAGGGUCUGAUGUCAUCUGCGUUAAAGACAUUCAAGUCAUAUUCACCCCUUUGGAAGGGUUAUCAAGGCGGCCUAUUGCACACACUUGUGGCCCAACUUUAGAGCUGCCAUCAACUUACAACAGCUAUCCUGACCUCCGAGCUGAAAUGGAGGCUAUACUGUCCAGCAACUUCUAUGCAAUGGACAUUGCAUAGAAGUGUCUCACUCACUCACAUGUACACACUCUUCCCUCUUGCCCAGUUAUAGCCUUAUCAGUGCCAUCUGUUUACCUUUAGAUAGUGUGUGAAUGUGAGACCGAGCACAUAGGGGAAGUAAUUAACUCAGGUGGUGCAUUAUUAGCGCAGGGUGAUUUAUUUUUUAUUUGAUGUUUUUCAGUUUCAGUUUUAUCCAGAAUGUCAUUACCAAACUUACUGUGGAAACAUGUUUACUGGCUGAUGAACAUUUUGUUGAUGGACUCCGAAUAUAUCCAGCCCACAUUUACACANNNNNNNNNNNNNNNNNNNNNNNNNNNNNNNNNNNNNNNNNNNNNNUUCAUAUGCAGUUGCUGUUAUUACCAGACUUAAACUGUCUGUAAAAACUUAUUGAGUGGCUGAACAUUUUGUUAAUAUACUUUAAGGUCCACUUAACCAAAAAACAAUUAUAAGCCUUUUACACAAUGUAUGUUAUAAAUGCAUGUGGAUACAUUUUUAUUUUUAAGUGAUUUAAAUACAUGUACCAAUAUUUUAAAUGUACUUUUAUGUAAGCCGUCAUUUCUGUUAGCAGUUUAGGAGCAUACUUUUUGUGACAAUUUAAAAGAAAUGUUCUUGUAAAGUUGCAUUUUCAUUGAGAAAUUAUAAUUAACUUGGACCCUGAGGUAAUGUCAGCUUAUGUUAAAUCUUGAUAUUGGCAGUGUUUGGAAAUCUGUUCUAACAUACAGCACUGUACAUUAGAAGGUGUUCUGCUUUUUACAAAUAAAAAGCACAGGUUUCUCUCUUGUUUUGUACA